rnacentral:rRNA from 1 species
UGGGGAAUAUUGCACAAUGGGCGCAAGCCUGAUGCAGCCAUGCCGCGUGUGUGAAGAAGGCCUUCGGGUUGUAAAGCACUUUCAGCGGGGAGGAAGGCGAUAAGGUUAAUAACCUUGUCGAUUGACGUUACCCGCAGAAGAAGCACCGGCUAACUCCGUGCCAGCAGCCGCGGUAAUACGGAGGGUGCAAGCGUUAAUCGGAAUUACUGGGCGUAAAGCGCACGCAGGCGGUCUGUCAAGUCGGAUGUGAAAUCCCCGGGCUUAACCUGGGAACUGCAUUCGAAACUGGCAGGCUAGAGUCUUGUAGAGGGGGGUAGAAUUCCAGGUGUAGCGGUGAAAUGCGUAGAGAUCUGGAGGAAUACCGGUGGCGAAGGCGGCCCCCUUGACGAAGACUGACGCUCAGGUGCGAAAGCGUGGGGAGCAAACAGG